rnacentral:rRNA from 1 species
GACGAACGCUGGCGGCGUGCCUAAUACAUGCCAGUAGAACGCUGAAGGAGGAGCUUGCUUCUCUGGAUGAGUUGCGAACGGGUGAGUAACGCGUAGGUAACCUGCCUGGUAGCGGGGGAUAACUAUUGGAAACGAUAGCUAAUACCGCAUAAGAGUAGAUGUUGCAUGACAUUUACUUAAAAGGUGCAAUUGCAUCACUACCAGAUGGACCUGCGUUGUAUUAGCUAGUUGGUGAGGUAACGGCUCACCAAGGCAACGAUACAUAGCCGACCUGAGAGGGUGAUCGGCCACACUGGGACUGAGACACGGCCCAGACUCCUACGGGAGGCAGCAGUAGGGAAUCUUCGGCAAUGGACGGAAGUCUGACCGAGCAACGCCGCGUGAGUGAAGAAGGUUUUCGGAUCGUAAAGCUCUGUUGUAAGAGAAGAACGAGUGUGAGAGUGGAAAGUUCACACUGUGACGGUAUCUUACCAGAAAGGGACGGCUAACUACGUG